rnacentral:rRNA from 1 species
GAGUUUGAUCCUGGCUCAGAACGAACGCUGGCGGCGUGCUUAACACAUGCAAGUCGAACGUGAUCCAGAGCUUGCUCUGGUGAAAGUGGCGCACGGGUGAGUAACGCGUGGAUAACCUGCCCUGGUAUCUGGGAUAACAUCUCGAAAGGGGUGCUAAUACCGGAUAAGCCUACGGGCUCUUCGGAGUCUGCAGGAAAAGGAGGCCUCUAUUUAUAAGCUUCCGUAUCAUGAUGGGUCCGCGUACCAUUAGCUAGUUGGUGGGGUAAUGGCCUACCAAGGCGACGAUGGUUAGCUGGUCUGAGAGGAUGAUCAGCCACACUGGAACUGAGACACGGUCCAGACUCCUACGGGAGGCAGCAGUGGGGAAUUUUGCGCAAUGGGGGAAACCCUGACGCAGCAACGCCGCGUGAGUGAUGAAGGCUUUCGGGUCGUAAAGCUCUGUCAGAGGGGAAGAAAUGAAACGUGCUAAUAUCACGUUUUCUUGACGGUACCCUCAAAGGAAGCACCGGCUAACUCCGUGCCAGCAGCCGCGGUAAUACAAGGGCGMMYUSCY